rnacentral:misc_RNA from 1 species
GGAGCUGGAGCUUUGUGGAGCGCCCUGGACUCCUGUUGAUGGGCGCCUUCCUGAUUGCUCAGCUUGUUGCUACUCUCAUAGCGGUGUAUGCAGACUGGGGUUUUGCCCGGAUUAAAGGUAUUGGCUGGGGCUGGGCUGGAGUAAUCUGGCUUUACAGCAUCGUGUUCUACUUCCCACUUGAUAUUUUCAAGUUUGCUAUCCGCUACAUUUUGAGUGGAAAGGCUUGGGAUAAUCUCCUUCAGAACAAGACUGCUUUCACUUCCAAAAAGGAUUAUGGAAAAGAAGAGCGUGAAGCGCAAUGGGCGCUGGCACAAAGAACUCUGCACGGGCUUCAACCAGCGGAGUCGUCCACCCUCUUCCAUGACAAGAGCAGCUACCGUGAGCUCUCAGAGAUCGCUGAGCAGGCCAAAAGGCGAGCGGAAGUUGCAAGGCUUCGGGAGCUGCACACACUGAAGGGUCAUGUGGAAUCAGUUGUGAAGCUAAAGGGUCUCGACAUCGACACGAUCCAGCAGCACUACACAGUCUGAUGAAAUGCACAAACUGAAGGGUAUUUGGGGCGAAGGAAGCAGGUGAUUCCUAACAAAAUGGGUGGGAGAGGAAGUGAGGUUGUUAUAUGUAUUGUAGAGGAUUUCAUUAGAGGCCAGGAUAUGGCAGUAGUAGCCUUUUUUUCGUUGUCGCUGGUGCUGUGGUUGUAAACUGGAAAUAACACAGAAAAAACCAAUGUUCGCCCCUGUUGUACCUGCUAAUUUUCAUGUGAUAUUAGUCUUUGUUCCGUGUUGUUUU